CUUCUCCACUUAGAGCUUCAAGGGUGAGUAUCAUUGCGUUGCACUGUAGCGACGGUGAUCAAGCCAGGGAAAAGAUCAUCGUCGCCAACUUGUCGGCAAACCUAGAGGACCACUUGAGAAGUGGCUUUGGGUCUUCACAUUGUGUAUUGGAGUAAAGUAUUUUCGAGAUCAAGAGUGAUAGACUAGCGUGGAUCUUGAAAGAUUAUCUGUAGAUGUUGUCUUAUCCGUUGUAAAUUUUGAGUUCUUGUCAUUGUCUAUCCAUGUAUUCUUGUAUUUUGUAUUUUUGAUUUGUAUAUUCCGGUAUUGUGUACUUUGUAGAGUUAGUAAUCCUGUAACUCAGUUGGGUUGUUAUAGAUUUGUCUGUCGUGAAUCAUAU